GACAUUAUAAUUGCACCAGCAACUUUGUUUAGCAGGUAGUUUAAUCCCUUAGGUUCUUUGAUAAUCUCUCUUGAUACCAAGUUGAGGAAUGUUAUCAGAAAAGAAACAAAAGGGAUAGAAAGAAGGAUGACAUAUCUUUCAAGAAGGAAAACAAAGUAAUCAGUGCCUCCAAGCUUAGUCAAAACAUGGCCUGCUAUCAAAGUCCCCUAACCCAGUUAGGGAAAUUGAACUGCCCUCUAGUUCAAAGAGAUUGCUGACAAGAAUAUUUGCAAAAACCUUGACCACUAAGACCAACUAAAAGAAAGAAAAAAAAUGUUGUCUUCUUUCUCAGCCAAAGGUGUCUAGUUAUGCUGAAAAAUCUGGAAAUUUCUCGCCAACCUAAGGUAGCUAGAGUCAUGCAUUGUCAAAGGACUUUGCUCCCAUCACCCCUAGUAAAUCCGUGAACAGAGAUGAUCAACACUAUCACCCAAAUCUGACUAUAAAAAUGGAAAAUCAGUCUCAAAGAACCACUCCUAGUGAGUUAGAUGAACAGGUCCAGUAUGAAUCAUUUCUCACUCCCUUAGUCAAGAUGAUCAUGUUGAUAUUGUUGGCCAACAUGCUUCCGUUCUUGCUCCCUCUGGCCAUGAGAAAACCAGUGGUCUACAAACUCCAUAAUUUCCCAGUAGCCUGUUGUGGUAAGAAAAGGGAAACAAGGUCUUAUUUGGAAAGUGGACUGGGAGAAUUGCAGUUGAGACAGAUUCUUUAUGGAGACAAGUUAUAUUGGGAAAGUUUGGUGAGAAGGAAGACAGUGUAGGAAGGGAAGUACAUGAAGUAGGAAUGUAACUGAAUGAGGACCGCAUGAUUGUCAUUAUAGAACAGAUUUGGUUAGAUGAUGGUCUUAGGUUAAGUUCGGGUUCAAUGUGUGUUGUGAUGAAUCACCUAAAUGAUAAACCGUGCCUGAGAAGAACACUACUUCUGUCCAGCCCAAUUCUUACCUCAGUUUCAUUAAAUUUUAGCACUUUCACAGUAUUUUUUGAAAGGCACUUUCACAGAUUAUAAUUCUUUUGCCAAGGCCCAUCUAAUGAACUUUCAAGUCCUAAUGACCACCUUGCUCAAGUAGAAUUAUUUUUAGAGUUAAAACAUUCUCAUGUCUUUUCAUUUUUCUUAUUGGAUUGAGUUACAUUUGAGAUUUUGACAUGUUAAUGAGUUCUUCUUCGCUCUUAUCCC
rnacentral:lncRNA from 1 species